rnacentral:rRNA from 1 species
AGCGAACGCUGGCGGCAGGCUUAACACAUGCAAGUCGAACGCCCCGCAAAGGGAGUGGCAGACGGGUGAGUAACACGUGGGAACGUACCCUUUGGUUCGGAAUAACUUGGGGAAACUCAAGCUAAUACCGGAUAAGCCCUUAUGGGGAAAGGUUUACUGCCGGAGGAUCGGCCCGCGUCUGAUUAGCUAGUUGGUGAGGUAAUGGCUCACCAAGGCGACGAUCAGUAGCUGGUCUGAGAGGGUGAUCAGCCACACUGGGACUGAGACACGGGCCGGACUCCUACGGGAGGCAGCAGUGGGGAAUAUUGGACAAGGGGGGCAACCCUGAUCCAGCCAUGCCGCGUGAGCGAUGAAGGCCUUAGGGCUGUAAAGCUCUUUUACCCGGGACGAUAAUGACUGUACCGGGAGAAUAAGCCCCGGCUAACUUCGUGCCAGCCGCCGCCGUAA